AACGCUGGCGGCAGGCCUAAUACAGGCAAGUCGAGCGGCCCUUCGGGGCAGCGGCGGACGGGUGAGUAACGCGUGGGAACGUGCCCUUUGGUACGGGAUAACUGAGGGAAACUUCAGCUAAUACCGUAUGUGCCCUANCGGGGGAAAGAUUUAUCGCCAUUGGAGCGGCCCGCGUUGGAUUAGCUAGUUGGUGGGGUAAAGGCUCACCAAGGCUACGAUCCAUAGCUGGUCUGAGAGGAUGAUCAGCCACACUGGGACUGAGACACGGCCCAGACUCCUACGGGAGGCAGCAGUAGGGAAUCUUGCGCAAUGGGCGAAAGCCUGACGCAGCCAUGCCGCGUGAAUGAUGAAGGUCUUAGGAUUGUAAAAUUCUUUCACCGGGGAAGAUAAUGACGGUACCCGGAGAAGAAGCCCCGGCUAACUUCGUGCCAGCAGCCGCGGUAAUACGAAGGGGGCUAGCGUUGCUCGGAAUUACUGGGCGUAAAGGGCGCGUAGGCGGAUGUUUAAGUCGGGGGUGAAAGCCCGGGGGCUCAACCUCGGAAUUGCCUUCGAUACUGGACAUCUUGAGUACGGGAGAGGUGAGUGGAACUCCGAGUGUAGAGGUGAAAUUCGUAGAUAUUCGGAAGAACACCAGUGGCGAAGGCGACUCACUGGCCCGUUACUGACGCUGAGGCGCGAAAGCGUGG
rnacentral:rRNA from 1 species